rnacentral:lncRNA from 1 species
GAGGUGGUGUUUGUGCUUGAAGGCCAACUAGAUGUUGGGUUCAUAACCACAGCCAAUGUGCUCAUAUCAAAGACUAUUAGCAAGGGUGAGAUAUUUGUGUUCCCAAAAGGCUUAGUUCACUUCCAAAAGAACAAUGCCAAUGUACCUGCUUCUGUUCUUUCUGCAUUCAACAGCCAACUUCCUGGUACACAGUCCAUUGCUACUACCUUGUUUGCAGCCACACCUUCUGUUCCAGACAAUGUGUUGACCAAGACAUUCCAGGUGGGUACCAAAGAGGUUGAGAAAAUCAAGUCUAGGCUUGCACCCA